rnacentral:rRNA from 1 species
UACGGAGGGAGCAAGCGUUACUCGGAAUUAUUGGGCGUAAAGGGCGCGUAGGCGAUUGAGUAAGUUCUUUGUGAAAGCCCCCGGCUUAACCGGGGAAGUGCAGGGAAAACUACUUGAUUUGAGUUCCGGAGAGGAAGGCAGAAUUCCCGGUGUAGCGGUGAAAUGCGUAGAGAUCGGGAGGAAUACCAGUGGCGAAGGCGGCCUUCUGGACGGAUACUGACGCUGAGGCGCGAAAGCCAGGGGAGCAAAC